rnacentral:snRNA from 1 species
AUUAUUUUUUCAAAAAAAAAAAUCUGUUCUUAUCAGUUUAAUAUCUGAUACGUCCCCCAUAGGGGGACUACAUAUUAAAUGGAUUUUUCGAACAGGGAGCUUAAACAGCUAGCUUAGCUUAGCUUAGCUUAGCUUAGCUUAGCUAGC